GAUGAGAAUGAGUUGAUUAUGCCCUUCUUGGUCCAGUUUUCUUUUCAACAGAAUCCCACCUUUGUCUCCAAAAAAUAGAUAGAAGUUUUUAUGGCUCUGAUAUCUUCCUCCAUGUUGGCAUAACUUGAAGUAGACUCUUCCUAUAUGGUGGCAAAAACGACAAUAAAUAAUUCUAGACUUCAUUGUACUUUCAGUUGCAAUUCCAGUCAUGCUCCGUUCUUAAAAUUACUUCAUGAUGUCCUGCUCAAGAGAAGAGUUCCUUUCUGGAUGGUGCCAAGAGUCAGCACCUGGCUGUGGUAAACAC